UACAGAGGGUGCAAGCGUUGCUCGGAAUCAUUGGGCGUAAAGGGCAGGUAGGUGGUCUGAUUUGUCUGGCGGUGAAAUCCUUGAGCUUAACUCAAGAAGUGCCCCGGAAACGGUCAGACUUACGAGUCUUGGAGAGGGUGGCGGAAUUCUCGGUGUAGCGGUGAAAUGCGUAGAUAUCGAGAGGAACACCUGAGGUGAAGACGGGUUGCUGGGCCGACACUGACGCUGACAGCGCGAAAGCCAGGGGAGCAAACGGG
rnacentral:rRNA from 1 species